GAUGAACGCUGGCGGCGUGCCUAAUACAUGCAAGUCGAGCGAACGGACGAGAAGCUUGCUUCUCUGAUGUUAGCGGCGGACGGGUGAGUAACACGUGGAUAACCUACCUAUAAGACUGGGAUAACUUCGGGAAACCGUAGCUAAUACCGGAUAAUAUUUUGAACCGCAUGGUUCAAAAGUGAAAGACGGUCUUGCUGUCACUUAUAGAUGGAUCCGCGCUGCAUUAGCUAGUUGGUAAGGUAACGGCUUACCAAGGCAACGAUGCAUAGCCGACCUGAGAGGGUGAUCGGCCACACUGGAACUGAGACACGGUCCAGACUCCUACGGGAGGCAGCAGUAGGGAAUCUUCCGCAAUGGGCGAAAGCCUGACGGAGCAACGCCGCGUGAGUGAUGAAGGUCUUCGGAUCGUAAAACUCUGUUAUUAGGGAAGAACAUAUGUGUAAGUAACUGUGCACAUCUUGACGGUACCUAAUCAGAAAGCCACGGCUAACUACGUGCCAGCAGCCGCGGUAAUACGUAGGUGGCAAGCGUUAUCCGGAAUUAUUGGGCGUAAAGCGCGCGUAGCGGUUUUUUAGUCUGAUGUGAAAGCCCACGGCUCAACCGUGGAGGGUCAUUGGAAACUGGAAAACUUGAGUGCAGAAGAGGAAAGUGGAAUUCCAUGUGUAGCGGUGAAAUGCGCAGAGAUAUGGAGGAACACCAGUGGCGAAGGCGACUUUCUGGUCUGCAACUGACGCUGAUGUGCGAAAGCGUGGGGAUCAAACAGGAUUAGAUACCCUGGUAGUCCACGCCGUAAACGAUGAGUGCUAAGUGUUAGGGGGUUUCCGCCCCUUAGUGCUGCAGCUAACGCAUUAAGCACUCCGCCUGGGGAGUACGACCGCAAGGUUGAAACUCAAAGGAAUUGACGGGGACCCGCACAAGCGGUGGAGCAUGUGGUUUAAUUCGAAGCAACGCGAAGAACCUUACCAAAUCUUGACAUCCUUUGACAACUCUAGAGAUAGAGCUUUCCCCUUCGGGGGACAAAGUGACAGGUGGUGCAUGGUUGUCGUCAGCUCGUGUCGUGAGAUGUUGGGUUAAGUCCCGCAACGAGCGCAACCCUUAAGCUUAGUUGCCAUCAUUAAGUUGGGCACUCUAAGUUGACUGCCGGUGACAAACCGGAGGAAGGUGGGGAUGACGUCAAAUCAUCAUGCCCCUUAUGAUUUGGGCUACACACGUGCUACAAUGGACAAUACAAAGGGCAGCGAAACCGUGAGGUCAAGCAAAUCCCAUAAAGUUGUUCUCAGUUCGGAUUGUAGUCUGCAACUCGACUACAUGAAGCUGGAAUCGCUAGUAAUCGUAGACCAGCAUGCUACGGUGAAUACGUUCCCGGGUCU
rnacentral:rRNA from 1 species